rnacentral:rRNA from 1 species
AUUGAACGCUGGCGGCAUGCUUUACACAUGCAAGUCGGACGGCAGCGGGGUAGUGCUUGCACUACUGCCGGCGAGUGGCGAACGGGUGAGUAAUAUAUUGGAACGUACCGAGUAAUGGGGGAUAACCAAUCGAAAGAUUGGCUAAUACCGCAUACGCUCUGAGGAGGAAAGCAGGGGACCUUCGGGCCUUGCGUUAUUCGAGCGGCCAAUAUCUGAUUAGCUAGUUGGUGGGGUAAAGGCCUACCAAGGC